rnacentral:rRNA from 1 species
UGCCAGCCGCCGCGGUAAUGCGGAGGAUUCAAGCGUUAUUCGGAAUGACUGGGCGUAGAGAGUUGCGUAGGCGGUUUGUUAAGCGAGUUAUGAAAUUUCAGGGCUCAACCCUGAAACUGUUUCUCGAACUGGCAAACUAGAGUGUAUGAGGGGUACCUGGAAUUCCUAGUGUAGGAGUGAAAUCCGUAGAUAUUAGGAGGAACACCAAUGGCGAAGGCAGGGUACUGGCAUAUUACUGACGCUGAGGCACGAAAGCGUGGGGAGCGAACCGGAUUAGAUA